AGCAGCCGCCGCGGGAAUACGAAGGGGGCUAGCGUUGUUCGGAUUAACUGGGCGUAAAGGGCGCGUAGGCGGGUUUUUAAGUCAGAGGUGAAAUCCCAAGGCUCAACCUUGGAACUGCCUUUGAUACUGGAAGUCUUGAGUCCGGGAGGGGUGAGUGGAACUGCGAGUGUAGAGGUGAAAUUCGUAGAGAUCGGGAGGAACAUCAGUGGCGAAGGCGGCCAUCUGGGACAACACUGACGCUGAGGCACGAAAGCGUGGGGAGCAAACAGGAUUAGAUACCCCCGUAGUCCCUGUCUCUUAUAC
rnacentral:rRNA from 1 species